GGACCCGCACAAGCAGUGGAUCAUGUGGUUUAAUUCGAAGCAACGCGAAGAACCUUACCAACCCUUGACAUACUAAUUAAGAUUUGUGGAGACACAUUUUGUCAGUUCGGCUGGAUUAGAUACAGGUGCUGCACGGCUGUCGUCAGCUCGUGUCGUGAGAUGUUGGGUUAAGUCCCGCAACGAGCGCAACCCCUGUUUUCAGUUACCAUCAUUUAGUUGGGUACUCUGGAAAGACUGUCGGUGAUAAACCGGAGGAAGGCGGGGACGACGUCAAGUCAUCAUGGCCCUUAUGGGUUGGGCUACACACGUGAUACAAUGGCAUCUACAGAGGGCCGCAAACCCGCGAGGGGGAGCCAA
rnacentral:rRNA from 1 species